rnacentral:rRNA from 1 species
GAUGAACGCUGGCGGCGUGCCUAAUACAUGCAAGUCGAGCGAACAGACGAGGAGCUUGCUCCUCUGACGUUAGCGGCGGACGGGUGAGUAACACGUGGAUAACCUACCUAUAAGACUGGGAUAACUUCGGGAAACCGGAGCUAAUACCGGAUAAUAUAUUGAACCGCAUGGUUCAAUAGUGAAAGACGGUUUUGCUGUCACUUAUAGAUGGAUCCGCGCCGCAUUAGCUAGUUGGUAAGGUAACGGCUUACCAAGGCAACGAUGCGUAGCCGACGUGAGAGGGGGAUCGGCCACACUGGAACUGAGACACGGUCCAGACUCCUACGGGAGGCAGCAGUAGGGAAUCUUCCGCAAAGGGCGAAAGCCUGACGGAGCAACGCCGCGUGAGUGAUGAAGGUCUUCGGAUCGUAAAACUCUGUUAUUAGGGAAGAACAAAUGUGUAAGUAACUAUGCACGUCUUGACGGUACCUAAUCAGAAAGCCACGGCUAACUACGUG